CUGAGGUAAAGAGCUGCCUCAUCCUCCUCUCUGCUCUACUUGAAUUCAUGAGGAGACAUGAAGUACUGAAAGGAGGGUGGGGAUGUUGCUAAUGAGCAGUAGCACUUGUAUGCAGUCUUCAUUACCACAGACCCACAUUACCACAGUCUGUCCUGUCCAUCCUCUCUGUAC